UUUUUUCCCUCUUCACUCACAGCGCCAACCAGUUAACAAAUAAAUACAAAUUGCAGUCGACUGCAUCAGCUGCGAGCAAGCUCGGAACUUACGGUAAGCUACUUAAGAAACGCUGGCGAGUAAAUACUGGAACACUGCGCUUGUACUACGGUCGUCUGUGCCAGGAGUUAGUCGACUCUCAUAGAAAUCUCUGUGUAGUUGUCGCGCAGGACAAAUAUUACCUAUCUGAUUGAUACGUAACCCAAUUCCGGCCAAUAUCGACGAAUUUCGUCGCCCGACAGUUUUCGACGUGGUGCGCUACUCAGCAAGUACGUAGAAAAGUGCUUCAACAAGGAAAUGCACUUAAUAUCUUAUUCAUAAAAGGCAAGUCGUCCUUAGGAGAUCCUACACACUUUAGCUUUCUUUAUUCCUUCUCACAUGGUCAUACAUCACCAGUUAUAUUCUACAAGCUUAAAUACCCUAUCUUCAAUAUAAAACUGUUACCUUCUCUUAGCUCGGAUUUCAGAGCAUUAAGUAUACGUAACGGCUUCACAGGUUGAACGAAGGUCGGAUAAAACAGCUGCAUGCUCUUUGCGAGAAGUUUUACGGAAUCCUUCGUGCCCUGUUUUCAGAUAUCUUCGGAUAUAUGUUCAUAUUCUCCUCAAGAGCAUUCCUUUUUCAAGAAAUACUACAAGAACACAGUAUACUUGCUCCUUUAUAUUAUGGGCAAAUUUGCAAUCGCAGAAUUUACUUCUCCAUAGGCCGAACGCAGCAAUUUACGGAUGGUCACUCACCGGAACUGAACCUGUCGAGCGUUGCUGAAAAUAAUAUCUCCUAGAUAACAUUUUCUAUGAUCGCCAUUCUGUAUUUUCAAUAUUUCGAUGCCUGCUGCAGUGAUCGCCUCCAGUAGUUGAAUUGCAUAGUGACGUCGAACAAAUAAUAAAGCUGAGUUCCUGCAUUGUAACGCGAGCUGGUAUGCAUACAGCAACACAAAAACCUUCCUUUUAUUCUAUCUCUCCUUACCGGUGAAUUCCAAUGUCAUUAGUUCUGUUUAGACCUUCAUUGCCAUAAGCCAACACUCGAAUGAAAAGAUGAAAUCGUUUCCAGAACGAAGAAAGCUUACCAUGUCUUCAGCCAUGUCUUCAUCACUGAAGGCGCCAUAUUCUGCUAUAGGAAACUCUACCUCGGGCUUAGGUACCACGAAACUCCGUAGGUACCACGAAACGUAGAAAUUGUACGGCUAGUAAUUCACAUAACUAAUUUACUAAGGUUUACUAAGGAAGGAAAAUAAGAUCUACAUAUGUUUGGAGCAGACGUAUUCUUUUCUGCAAAGCGUGCUGAAAAUUUAUAAAUUAGAAAACAAUAAUAUUUACAAAUGGGAAAAAGAAAUGAGGCCUACAUAAAUUUCUGACCUCCAGUUGAUCGAAUUUGGGUAUAAUGCACCAGCUUAAAUUAUACACAUAAUUUGUCAACAGGGCUCUCGCAAAACUAGUGCAUGCAACAAGACAAUUUCAAGUAAAUAACGAAUAUACCAUAUUUCACUGCUUCAUUUUCGCUAUUUCAAACUUGGUGAUCAAUUUCUCUUCCCUACGCAUAUUUUCAGCAAUAUUUCUAAGAAGCUAUAGGCGAUAAAUAUAAGUUCAACUGCCUAAAUGUGGUAGAAUAUCACUUUUUUGAAUUAGUUCAACAGUAAAAUUCAGUUCAACUUCUCAAAUUCUAAACAAAUCACCUCAGCCGUUUUCUAAUGAGGGCAAUAAUAGGUAAUACAACGUAAUACGGACUUGAACCAGAGCUAAAGCUUGCUCUGAACUGUUACUGUUAUCAUUAACUCUUAUAUCUAGUAAGCCGCAGUUACCAUUCACUGUUUUACGCACUGGCGUUUUGCGGACGUUCUACGUUUGUUGUUGCAGAAAAAAAAAUUUCAAUGUGCAAUUAUUUUGGUCAUGAAGAUGCUUGCAUUAGAAUUUCAUGCGUCUUGCUUCCAGCUUACUACAGUAGGAGACGGAUUUCAAUUAUAUUGGAAGCCAAGAUGAGUGCACGUAUGCUUUGUUGUAAACGGAGAUUCCGCAAAGGAGAGUUGUCAUUCUAGCGCAUUUCGAGACAACCUGUGAAUGUUUGGAGUCGUUUUGAGCGUUUUCCUUCUUUUUGGUUCGCUCACCUGCUUGUUACUGGAAUAAGAACGGUAGCUUUGUCUGUUUUGCAGAAGCUCUGUUGUGGGGGGUUUCGCAUUCCUGACACUUUUGAUCAAUAGUUUCCUGUACAUACAACCCGAAAGUUUAAGGCGCCAUGUCUGUUGAAAGAUAUAUGCAAUCCAUGGCUGCGGCACUUCUCAGCCGGCAGAGGAAGGUGGUGAAGCUUGUCACAAUAAAGAAGCAGUCCGGUCCCCGGCGACAACAAUCUCGGGACGGUCGCAAAAC
rnacentral:lncRNA from 1 species